rnacentral:rRNA from 1 species
CUACGGGUUGCUGCAGUGGGGAAUAUUGCACAAUGGAGGAAACUCUGAUGCAGCAACGCCGCGUGGAGGAUGACACUUUUCGGAGCGUAAACUCCUUUUAUAUAGGAAGAAGAUGACGGUACUAUAUGAAUAAGCGCCGGCUAACUCCGUGCCAGCAGCCGCGGUAAUACGGAGGGCGCAAGCGUUACUCGGAAUCACUGGGCGUAAAGAGCGUGUAGGCGGAUUAAAAAGUCAGAAGUGAAAUCCUAUAGCUUAACUAUAGAACUGCUUCUGAAACUCUUAAUCUAGAAUAUGGGAGAGGUAGAUGGAAUUUCUGGUGUAGGGGUAAAAUCCGUAGAGAUCAGAAGGAAUACCGAUUGCGAAGGCGAUCUACUAGAACAUUAUUGACGCUGAGACGCGGAAGCGUGGGGAGUAAACAGGAUUAGAUACCCCCGUAGUC